rnacentral:rRNA from 1 species
GAUGAACGCUGGCGGCGUGCCUAAUACAUGCAAGUCGAGCGAACGGACGAGAAGCUUGCUUCUCUGAUGUUAGCGGCGGACGGGUGAGUAACACGUGGAUAACCUACCUAUAAGACUGGGAUAACUUCGGGAAACCGGAGCUAAUACCGGAUAAUAUUUUGAACCGCAUGGUUCAAAAGUGAAAGACGGUCUUGCUGUCACUUAUAGAUGGAUCCGCGCUGCAUUAGCUAGUUGGUAAGGUAACGGCUUACCAAGGCAACGAUGCAUAGCCGACCUGAGAGGGUGAUCGGCCACACUGGAACUGAGACACGGUCCGGACUCCUACGGGAGGCAGCAGUAGGGAAUCUUCCGCAAUGGGCGAAAGCCUGACGGAGCAACGCCGCGUGAGUGAUGAAGGUCUUCGGAUCGUAAAACUCUGUUAUUAGGGAAGAACAUAUGUGUAAGUAACUGUGCACAUCUUGACGGUACCUAAUCAGAAAGCCACGGCUAACUACGU